rnacentral:rRNA from 1 species
CGAACGCUGGCGGCGUGCUUAACACAUGCAAGUCGAACGGUGAAGCGCCUUCCUUUUUGGUGGGUGUGGAUGAGUGGCGAACGGGUGAGUAACACGUGAGUAACCUGCCCCCUUCUUCUGGAUAACCGCAUGAAAGUGUGGCUAGUACGGGAUAUUCUGGGUCUGUCGCAUGAUGGGUCUGGGAAAGAUAUUGUUUCGGUGGGGGAUGGGCUCGCGGCCUAUCAGCUUGUUGGUGGGGUGAUGGCCUACCAAGGCGGUGACGGGUAGCCGGCCUGAGAGGGUGGACGGUCACACUGGGACUGAGACACGGCCCAGACUCCUACGGGAGGCAGCAGUGGGGAAUAUUGCACAAUGGGCGCAAGCCUGAUGCAGCGACGCCGCGUGAGGGAUGGAGGCCUUCGGGUUGUGAACCUCUUUCGCCAGUGAAGCAGGCCUGCCUCGUUUGUGGGUGGGUUGACGGUAGCUGGAUAAGAAGCGCCGGCUAACUACGUG